GAUCAUGGCUCAGGAUGAACGCUGGCGGCGUGCUUAACACAUGCAAGUCGAACGAAGCUCUCUGAAGUGAGAUUCGGUCAAGCUAAGGAGAAGACUAGUGGCGGACGGGUGAGUAACGCGUGGGUAACCUGCCGUAUGCAGGGGGACAACAGUUGGAAACGACUGCUAAUACCGCAUAAGCGCACGGUUCUGCAUGGAACAGUGUGAAAAGAUUUAUCGGCAUACGAUGGACCCGCGUCUGAUUAGCUAGUUGGUGAGGUAACGGCCCACCAAGGCAACGAUCAGUAGCCGGCCUGAGAGGGUGAACGGCCACAUUGGGACUGAGACACGGCCCAAACUCCUACGGGAGGCAGCAGUGGGGAAUAUUGCACAAUGGGGGAAACCCUGAUGCCAGCGACGCCGCGUGAGUGAAGAAGUAUUUCGGUAUGUAAAGCUCUAUCAGCAGGGAAGAAAAUGACGGUACCUGACUAAGAAGCCCCGGCUAACUACGUGCCAGCAGCCGC
rnacentral:rRNA from 1 species